rnacentral:rRNA from 1 species
UACGGAGGGUGCAAGCGUUAUCCGGAUUCAUUGGGUUUAAAGGGUGCGUAGGCGGAAUACUAAGUCAGUGGUGAAAUCCUACAGCUCAACUGUGGAAUUGCCAUAGAUACUGGUAAUCUAGAAUUUAGUUGAAGUGGGCGGAAUAUAACAUGUAGCGGUGAAAUGCAUAGAUAUGUUAUAGAACACCGAUAGCGAAGGCAGCUCACUAAGUUAACAUUGACGCUGAUGCACGAAAGCGUGGGUAGCGAACAGG